rnacentral:rRNA from 1 species
UGCAAGUCGAGCGGUAAGGCCUUUCGGGGUACACGAGCGGCGAACGGGUGAGUAACACGUGGGUGAUCUGCCCUGCACUUCGGGAUAAGCCUGGGAAACUGGGUCUAAUACCGGAUAUGACCUCCUAUCGCAUGGUGGGUGGUGGAAAGAUUUAUCGGUGCAGGAUGGGCCCGCGGCCUAUCAGCUUGUUGGUGGGGUAAUGGCCUACCAAGGCGACGACGGGUAGCCGACCUGAGAGGGUGACCGGCCACACUGGGACUGAGACACGGCCCAGACUCCUACGGGAGGCAGCAGUGGGGAAUAUUGCACAAUGGGCGAAAGCCUGAUGCAGCGACGCCGCGUGAGGGACGACGGCCUUCGGGUUGUAAACCUCUUUCAGCAGGGACGCAAGUGACGGUACCUGCAGAAGAAGCACCGGCUAACUACGUGCCAGCAGCCGCGGUAAUACGUAGGGUGCAAGCGUUGUCCGGAAUUACUGGGCGUAAAGAGUUCGUAGGCGGUUUGUCACGUCGUUUGUGAAAACUCACAGCUCAACUGUGAGCCUGCAGGCGAUACGGGCAGACUUGAGUACUGCAGGGGAGACUGGAAUUCCUGGUGUAGCGGUGAAAUGCGCAGAUAUCAGGAGGAACACCGGUGGCGAAGGCGGGUCUCUGGGCAGUAACUGACGCUGAGGA